rnacentral:rRNA from 1 species
GGGUUCAGGCCCCAGAGUGGGGCUAAUAUGGCCGUAUAAUAAAAGUACAUUAAAUCUUAGAAAAUAUUCUUCUCUUCUCCCAAAUGAUACCGUGAAGCCAUUUACAAACAUUGUGAAUUCCAUGACCCCUGUGGAUCAAGGGUUUAUGUCGUACUUAAAAAUCUUCUUCUCU